GCCCCAAACCCGCAACGCGGGCUAGUAACGUUGGCUUGCGUAACAGACAGGGAAACUGAGGCCCGAGAAGCCAGAUCACCUGCCGCUCCAGAAUUCCUAAUGGACACAUACAGGCAUUCAACAAAUGUCUGUCACAUGGAGAAACUCAGCCUGAGUCUCCUUCCUCAUCAGGGGCCAUCCUGUUUGGGCUCCACAUUCACUGACAAAGUCACCACCCAAUGGACCAGUCCAGGGCAGAAAAAGUCUUGGAGACAUUUGAAGGACCACCAAGGUGUUAGUGUAGAGAAGGUCAAGCAUUCAGGCACAUGAGAAGCUCUGCUCUACUGGCAGCCAGUCUCCAAAGGCUCAAAGGACUUGGAUGGAGUGUCUUAACCAGAGGGCAAUACUGGUGGACAGUAAAGUAGGUUUCUGGAGGCCCACACACGCCUGAGGCCUUGAUGUGCUGAGAGCAAGGACUAAACCUGGCAGGCAACUGGGGUCUGCAUGUGCUCAGACUCACUGGUGACAGGGAUCCUGUCAGGAGCCAGCCUGGACUUGGUAACCCAGGACAGCUGGAAGAAGACCCCCUAGA